rnacentral:rRNA from 1 species
UACGUAGGGUGCAAGCGUUAAUCGGAAUUACUGGGCGUAAAGCGUGCGCAGGCGGCUUUGCAAGACAGAUGUGAAAUCCCCGGGCUUAACCUGGGAACUGCAUUUGUGACUGCAUCGCUGGAGUGCGGCAGAGGGGGACGGAAUUCCGCGUGUAGCAGUGAAAUGCGUAGAUAUGCGGAGGAACACCGAUGGCGAAGGCAAUCCCCUGGGCCUGCACUGACGCUCAUGCACGAAAGCGUGGGGAGCAAACAGG